GGCCGGCUGGCGCAAUGGUAGCGCGUUAGUUUCCGGAGCUAGAGGUUCUGGGUUCGAGCCCCAGGCUGGUCG
rnacentral:tRNA from 1 species